GACGAACGCUGGCGGCGUGCUUAACACAUGCAAGUCGAACGGUAAGGCCCUUCGGGGUACACGAGUGGCGAACGGGUGAGUAACACGUGGGUGAUCUGCCCUGCACUUCGGGAUAAGCCUGGGAAACUGGGUCUAAUACCGGAUAGGACUCCUGGCUUCAUGGUUGGGGGUGGAAAGCUUUUGCGGCGUGGGAUGGGCCCGCGGCCUAUCAGCUUGUUGGUGGGGUAAUGGCCUACCAAGGCGACGACGGGUAGCCGGCCUGAGAGGGUGAUCGGUCACACUGGGACUGAGAUACGGCCCAGACUCCGACGGGAGGCAGCAGUGGGGAAUAUUGCACAAUGGGCGCAAGCCUGAUGCAGCAACGCCGCGUGAGGGAUGACGGCCUUCGGGUUGUAAACAUCUUUCAGCUAUGACGAAGCGCAAGUGACGGUAGUAGCAGAAGAAGGACCGGCCAACUACGUGCCAGCCGCCGCCGUAA
rnacentral:rRNA from 1 species